GAUGAACGCUGGCGGCGCGCCUAACACAUGCAAGUCGAACGAUUAAAGCACCUUCGGGUGUGUAUAAAGUGGCGAACGGCUGAGUAACACGUGGGCAACCUGCCCCUUUCAUUGGGAUAGCCACGGGAAACCGUGGAUAAUACCGAAUACUUCGAGACUUCCGCAUGGAAGACUCGAGAAAGCUCCGGCGGAGUGGGAUGGGCCCGCGGCCUGUUAGCUUGUUGGUGGGGUAACGGCCUACCAAGGCAAUGAUGGGUAGCUGGGAUGAGAGACCGACCAGCCAGCUUGGGCCUGCGAGACGGCCCAGACGCCUACGGGAGGCAGCAGGGGGGAAUCUUGCACAAUGGGCGAAAGCCUGAUGCAGCGACGCCGCGUGCGGGAUGAAGGCCUUCGGGUUGUAAACCGCUUUCAGCAGGGACGAGGCGAAAGUGACGGUACCUGCAGAAGAAGCCCCGGCUAACUACGUG
rnacentral:rRNA from 1 species